rnacentral:rRNA from 1 species
AUUGAACGCUGGCGGCAGGCUUAACACAUGCAAGUCGAACGCGUGGGGGACGGGGGAGUAAAGUCUGGGAAAAUGCCCGAUGUGGGGGGAUAAAAAUAGGAAACGGUAGCUAAUAUCGCAUAUCAUCGGAUGUGUCCAGAUGGGAUUAGCUAGAAGGGGGGGUAACGGCUCACCUCGGAGACGAUCCCUAGCUGGUCUGAGAGGAUGACCAGCCACACUGGAACUGAGACACGGUCCAGACUCCUACGGGAGGCAGCAGUGGGGAAUAUUGCACAAUGGGCGCAAGCCUGAUGCAGACAUGCCGCGUGUGUGAAGAAGGCCUUCGGGUUGUAAAGUACUUUCAGCGAGGAGGCGUUACUCGCAGAAGAAGCACCGGCUAACUCCGUGCCAGCAGCCGCGGUAAUUC